GUUGGUGGGGUAACGGCCCACCAAGGCGACGACGGGUAGUUGGUCUGAGAGGACGGCCAGCCACACUGGGACUGAGACACGGCCCAGACUCCUACGGGAGGCAGCAGUGGGGGAUCUUGCGCUAAUGCGCGAAAGCGUGACGCAGCGACGCCGCGUGGGGGAUGAAGGCCCUCGGGUUGUAAACCCCUUUCGGCAGGGACGAAGGGAAACUGACGGUACCUGCAGAAGAAGUCCCGGCUAACUACGUGCCAGCAGCCGCGGUAACACGUAGGGGACGAGCGUUGUCCGGAUUCAUUGGGCGUAAAGCGCGCGUAGGCGGCUCGGAAAGUCGGGCGUGAAAUGCCGGGGCUCAACCCCGGGACUGCGUCCGAUACUUCCGAGCUGGAGGUAGGUAGGGGAGAUCGGAAUUCCUGGUGUAGCGGUGAAAUGCGCAGAUAUCAGGAGGAACACCGGUGGCGAAGGCGGAUCUCUGGGCCUUACCUGACGCUGAGGCGCGAAAGCUAGGGGAGCGAACAGGAUUAGAUACCCUGGUAGUCCUAGCCGUAAACGUUGGGUGCUAGGUGUGGGCGGACAUCGACCCCGUCCGUGCCGAAGCUAACGCAUUAAGCACCCCGCCUGGGGAGUACGGCCGCAAGGCUAAAACUCAAAGGAAUUGACG
rnacentral:rRNA from 1 species